GAUGAACGCUAGCGGCAGGCCUAACACAUGCAAGUCGAGGGGUAGAAGGAGCUUGCUCCUUUGAGACCGGCGCACGGGUGCGUAACGCGUAUGCAAUCUACCUUGUACAGGGGAAUAGCCCAGAGAAAUUUGGAUUAAUGCCCCAUAGUAUAUAACCUUCGCAUGUUGGUUAUAUUAAAGUUCCAACGGUACAAGAUGAGCAUGCGUCCCAUUAGUUAGUUGGUAAGGUAACGGCUUACCAAGACGAUGAUGGGUAGGGGUCCUGAGAGGGAGAUCCCCCACACUGGUACUGAGACACGGACCAGACUCCUACGGGAGGCAGCAGUGAGGAAUAUUGGUCAAUGGUCGCAAGACUGAACCAGCCAUGCCGCGUGCAGGAAGACGGUCCUAUGGGUUGUAAACUGCUUUUAUACAGGAAGAAACCCUCCCACGUGUGGGAGCUUGACGGUACUGUAGGAAUAAGGAUCGGCUAACUCCGUG
rnacentral:rRNA from 1 species